GGAGGUGCAGUAGCUAUUCGUUUCUUAUUCACAUUAAAAAAAAAUUGGUCUUUGUUCCACUAAAGCUACAGGAGUUAUUCUUCUUUGUUCAAGUUGUAGCAACAAUCCGUGAUUGACAUCUAUGAAAUUUGUUGUUGGAGUUAGCUGCCGGAUUAGCGAAAAAGUCACGAUGACGACGACUCGGAAAGCAUCGAAAGAUUAGAUGUUGCAGCUGAUGAAGUACUCGGAGAUGAAAUGGGAUUGAUUCAGAACUGUUGUAUGAAAAAAAACCUUUCCAGGUUAAAUGCCUCAUGUGAAUGUCUAACAAUUUUAACGUGACAUGUAAAGGAAGAUUAUCUAGGUCCCAUUUUUGCUAUCUCAUUUGGGACGGUGAUCUUCCUCUUAUUACACUUUCAAGUUACUCGAUUUUCAACUAAGAUGUAUUUACGACAACAGCCAGCCAUCUUCUUUAUAACUGAAAUGGGUAUAAGUUUUUUUACAAAGGCUGGAGGAUUGGGCAAAGCUGACAUCAAGGACAACUUGGAGCUUGCUGCAAGCAUAUUCUGUCUAUUGGGCCUCUAAGGUUUUUCAGAUGCACAAGUACCAUCAAAGUAGCACAACUAUAAUCCUAGCCAGUUUCAACAUCUUAUGUACCCUGAUUGAAAUAUUAAGUCUCACGGGGUCUCUAUCAGUCUAUCAGUCUAUCAGCCAUACCCCUGUAAGGUAGUAGGUAGUCGCGAACAAAGGCAGCUUGACCAGUGUACCGGUGCAGAUACGGCAGGAAAAAUAUCUCAUUGCUGGAAGCAGUGUUUGAAUUCCUUCUCAUUUUUGGAUUCACUGUGUUAGUGACCUUGAUGGUGUAGCAUGUAAAGUAUCUCGAACCUCAGAGAAGAUUGGCUUCUAAAGCUGUGUGCGCAAGGAUUACAAAUUAACGAAUCUCGCUUGGAGGGUACACAUGAAAAGGUGCUGAAGGUGGCAGCGGCAGAGGCGGUGAAAAGAAGAAGAGCCAUUCAAAAAAAAGGUGGUGUCACUGGUGGAGGCAGUGAAAAAACUGGUCUCCGUUUAGCUAAUAAGAAAGAUGUUUUUGUGGCUAGAUGCAGAUAUUGCAGGAGGUGUGUUCGAAUCAUCUCGGAACCAGAAAAAAAUGGGUUUUGAGAGUGGUAUAGCUGCUCUAGAUGCUGGUGUUUUUGCAUGGGAAACAACUCUAUAUACCUGAUUCUAUUGCAGGCCAGUUCUGUUAGAGAAAAGGCUAUAAACCACACCAGAUUAUAUUACAUCUAUAUACCAAGUACAGUUGAAUGAGUUAGAUCACCUAAUUUUGUUGUAUGUGUUGGAGGCAGUAUUAUCAUUUUGCCAUCUGAGGCUGUUUUGUU